rnacentral:rRNA from 1 species
UAACACAUGCAAGUCGUACGAGAAAGUCCGCUUCGGUGGAUGAGUAAAGUGGCGCACGGGUGAGUAACGCGUGGAUAAUCUACCCCUCAGUCUGGAAUAACGUACCGAAAGGUGCGCUAAUACCGGAUGACACUGCACAACUACUGUUGUGUAGUCAAAGAUGGCCUCUGCUUGCAAGCUUUCGCUGAAGGAUGAGUCCGCGUACCAUUAGCUAGUUGGUGGGGUAAUGGCCUACCAAGGCUGCGAUGGUUAGCUGGUCUGAGAGGAUGAUCAGCCACACUGGAACUGAGACACGGUCCAGACUCCUACGGGAGGCAGCAGUGAGGAAUAUUGCGCAAUGGGGGCAACCCUGACGCAGCAACGCCGCGUGAGUGAGGAAGGUUUUCGGACCGUAAAGCUCUGUCGAGCGGGAAGAAAUGCAUUAUGGCUAAUAUCCAUAAUGCUCGACGGUACCGUUAGAGGAAGCACCGGCUAACUCCGUG